GACGUAGGGCGCGAGUGUUGUCCGGAAUUAUUGGGCGUAAAGCGCGCGCAGGCGGUCUUUUAAGUCUGAUGUGAAAGCCCACGGCUUAACCGUGGAGGGUCAUUGGAAACUGGGGAACUUGAGUGCAGAAGAGGAGAGUGGAAUUCCACGUGUAGCGGUGAAAUGCGUAGAUAUGUGGAGGAACACCAGUGGCGAAGGCGACUCUCUGGUCUGUAACUGACGCCGAGGCGCGAAAGCGUGGGGAGCGAACAGG
rnacentral:misc_RNA from 1 species